rnacentral:lncRNA from 1 species
AGCAUCUGAUUUGCACAUUGUUCAUCCAACUAUGAAAAUAUUACUGGACCUUGGUUAUAUAACAUUUGCUAAUACAGUUUUGCUGGAUGUAACAGGAAUUAGAGCUAAAGGCCCAAUUGAUUGUGAAUCACUAAAAACUGAUCUGUCCAUUCAAGCUAAAAAGGCAGAAGAGAAGAUAAUGAACACAUGGUAUCCACAGGUUAUAAGUCUCUUUACCAAGAAGGAGUCACUAGAAGGCAUUAAGCCUGAAAAAUUGGAUGCAUUUUAUAGUUGUGUUUCCACACUUAUGUCAAAUCAGGUAAAUACAUUUUAUGUAUCUUAAAUGAUAG